AACCUUAUGGACCUGCGGGCGUAUACCUGCGGAGGGAUCAUUACCGAGUUUUCAACUCCCUAACCCUUCUGUGAACCUACCUAUCGUUGCUUCGGCGGACUCGCCCCAGCCCGGACGCGGACUGGACCAGCGGCCCGCCGGGGACCUCAAACUCUUGUAUUCCAGCAUCUUCUGAAUACGCCGCAAGGCAAAACAAAUGAAUCAAAACUUUCAGCAACGGAUCUCAGAUCGGAAGAGCAC
rnacentral:misc_RNA from 1 species